GUGUAGUGUGUGUGUAGUCAGUGUGUAGUGUGUGUGUAGUGUGUGUGUAGUCAGUGUGUGUUCAGUGUGUAGUCAGUGUGUAGUGUGUGUGUAGUCAGUGUGUAGUGUGUGUGUAGUGUGUGUGUAGUCAGUGUGUGUGUGUGUAGUCAGUGUGUAGUCAGUGUGUAGUCAGCGUGUAGUCAGUGUGUAGUCAGUGUGUAGUGUGUGUGUAGUCAGUGUGUAGUGUGUGUGUAGUCAGUGUGUAGUGUGUGUGUAGUCAGUGUGUGUUCAGUGUGUAGUCAGUGUGUAGUCAGUGUGUAGUGUGUGUGUGUAGUCAGUGUGUAGUCAGUGUGUAGUGUGUGUGUAGUCAGUGUGUAGUGUGUGUGUAGUGUGUGUGUAGUCAGUGUGUGUGUGUGUAGUCAGUGUGUGUAGUGUGUGUGUAGUCAGUGUGUGUAGUGUGUGUGUAGUCAG
ensembl:lncRNA